UGUCCCCUGCAGUGUUCGACAGGCUCAUAAUAUUCUUUGAACCAAGAAGCUAAGGCUUAGGCUGCAAUCCUUAAUGUUACUGUUGUGCGCGUCCCCUGUGGAUGUACCUGAUGUAGCUGGCAAGCAGCCCUCUUGAACCCAGGUUCAAGAUGUUGGGUCAACGGCACAGGCGGGGGGCUU
rnacentral:other from 1 species